UACGUAGGGCGCAAGCGUUGUCCGGAAUUAUUGGGCGUAAAGAGCUCGUAGGCGGUUUGUCGCGUCUGCUGUGAAAACCCGAGGCUCAACCUCGGGCCUGCAGUGGGUACGGGCAGACUAGAGUGCGGUAGGGGAGACUGGAAUUCCUGGUGUAGCGGUGGAAUGCGCAGAUAUCAGGAGGAACACCGAUGGCGAAGGCAGGUCUCUGGGCCGCAACUGACGCUGAGGAGCGAAAGCAUGGGGAGCGAACAGG
rnacentral:rRNA from 1 species